GCGCAGUAACCCGGAUGGACGCACACGGAUGUGGGUUGCGCACUGAGCACACGGGCACCACCGGAGCGUGGGCUGGCCGCGAUUCGUGUUGUUACUGCUAACCAGAGCUGAAGACAGCCUGUGGUGUGGAGAAAAGACCUCGAGCCGGACCUGUCUUAACUGGAAAGCCAUGCCCAGAAUGUGUAAAUUUCGCAGUCUAAUAUUGCAUACAUUUUAAAGAAAUGUCAGUAAUUGUGGUACCAUGGGGUAAAUAAAUCAAUUUUGUCUGU